rnacentral:lncRNA from 1 species
UGAAUGAUGGUCCAAAUGCAGGAAAACAAAUAAGUGCAGUCAUGAGAUUUCUUAAGAAUUGUGGAAUAAUGAACAGAAUUUAAGAUUUAGGUGAGUACAUUCUCCAUCACAGUCAUCACAGUAGGUGGCGGUAUGCACCUAUGAAGUUGGUUCGCAACCCGCCAUAAAACCAAAAGAAGAAGAAGAAGAAGAUACAAUAGUGCUUUGAAAACUGCGUCGGAGCCUCGCAGCUGCGGUAUCAAUCGUCCCAUCACUAGCUAUAUUCAUGUUCAGCGAAGCUCCUUCCACAACAAUCACACAUUCAGCAAUUCACUAAUAAAUGCUGGAAUAUUUCCAUCAGUUCACAAGUGCAGACGAGCAUCAAAGCAUCAGGAAGAGCUGAAAUCUGCAAAGACUGAGUUUAUUGAAGAGGACAGAGAGAUAAUGAGAGAUCCAGAACCCUGCAGAAUGAAACACACUGAAGAUACUGAAGAACAAACAGGUUGGUGUUUACUAGUGAAAGAGACUAACUAGUGAAACGAUGAGAGACGGCAUUGACCUCAUGUAUAAUUCACUGGUCGCCGUGAUUUUGCCAGGUAAGACAUGUUCCUGGAUUAACAUCUUUUGUUGAUCCUGGAUCAACAUUACUGUCCAAAAAUACAGACUUAACCCAAUCCCCACCCCUAAACCUAACCCUACCCAUAAUUUAUUCCUAAAAUCAGUGGGAAAUGAUAGCUGAUUAACAAGGGUGUAGAAGCACCUACUCCUGAUUGUAAAUUUAUUUAUAUAUAUAUAUAAAUAAAAACCCACAAUGUCUAAGAAAGUAAAUAAGAAAGAGUAAAACAUUAAUUUUCCUACAACAUUGAUCCAGGAACAUGUUGUACUUGGUCAAAUCACACUCACCAUAAUUCACCGGUGAGAAAACAGUACAGUACAUAAUAUUACAACAAUAACACCUUCCAUUCUCGCUCAGUCUGCAAUAACAUAAUAAAUGAUAACAUAUCGUGUCUGCGUGAAAGGUGCGCAGAAAAAUGCAAAUACAUACAUUCACAGGCAGGUAUCCUAAUGUUUGGACCGAAUAAUCUGAUUGGUCGAACAUUUGAUGUAUUUACGAUAUAAAUUCUCAAGCACUCUCUGGUUUGUGUUUAUACCCACCGCACAUUUCAGAAGCAUCCAGAAGUGGCUCUCUGUGCUGCUUUGCUAAAGAUAUGCUCCUAGUCUAAUUUUGAUGGACGCCGCGUCCAAGCUGCACAUAAUUAGAUAAUUUAUGUAUUUUAACAGCUGCAUGCCUUUUAUCUUUGUCAUUCAUAACUAGAUAGGUAGAACCCAAAAAAAAAAAAAACCCACAGAAAAUCAAGGAAAACAACGUUGGACAAGCAAAUCUCAUGGUCUUGCGAAUCCAGUUGCUUAGUUCCUGGUGUGAGUUGACACCGCGUGGAAGACGGAACAAAACCUUGUCGGAGCCAUGAAUGGUAAUGUUAACAUAAAACGCUGAUCGUAGGCUGCUUUUCCCGAGUUCGCACUUACAUAUAAUUGGAUUGAGCAGAUAGUAAGCAUAUUUGGCAUGCUGUCCUGAGGGGAGGGCUCAGAGCCCGGAAUAUAGCGUGAACCCAGAGAACUCCCCUUAUCCCUAAUCUGGGAUGAGAAUAGUUAAAGUGAGGAGUUGAGGUGGAGGAGGGAUGCCGGAAAACUGUUGUGGGACAGAGGUAAGUUGGCUGUAUAUAUACAUAUCAUGCUGGUUAAGAUGAAUAACUAAACAAGCUCCACCUGUGCUGAAUUGGUUUACCAUCUGAUCGUGCUCCUCCCGAACCUUGUUAAUAAAACAUCAUUUAAACGAACAUUUAAUUUUAAAACAAAAGUUCUUCUUUGGCCAGAUUAGCCUACACUUUCUUAAUAGCUUAAACACAGGCUUUAACUGCAAUGUCACUGUUUCUGUCACUGCAACUUCCCAAACAGGCAAACACACACACAAAAUGAAAUUUUGGUCCGUCUGCCGGAUGAAAAAAUGCAUUAAAAACACACCUUCAUAUUUCAGAGAAUGUAGUUAAUAUUUGCGUAAUUAAUGAUUUAAUCUCAUUCACCUGCAAUUAAUCAGAAUUUUUUUUUUUUAUUACCCGACCCGCGGAUUAUCCGCAGUGCCCACAGAUUUAACUGUGAUCGCUGCAUCACUACAACUGACAUUAACAAAGGAUCAGGCUUAGGAGAGCCAAUACCAAUCAGUUAAAAAAAUGCUUGAUCAGCUCGGAACAUCCCUACUUUCAAAUAUCAUAUUUUACAUAUUACAAAAACACAGUUUCUGGAAAGA